rnacentral:rRNA from 1 species
UACGGAGGGGCUAGCGUUGUUCGGAAUUACUGGGCGUAAAGAGCGCGUUAGGCGGCCAGAUAAGUCCGGUGUGAAAGUCAAAGGCUCAACCUUUGAAUGCCGCGUGGAAACUGUUCUGGCUAGAGUCCGGGAGGGGCGAGUGGAAUUCCUGGUGUAGCGGUGAAAUGCGCAGAUAUCAGGAGGAACACCAAUGGCGAAGGCAGCUCGCUGGAACGGUACUGAACGCU